UAGAGCAAAUCNCAAAACUACGGUCUCAGUUCAGAUUGCAGGCUGCAACUCGCCUGCAUGAAGUUGGAAUUGCUAGUAAUCGCGAAUCAGAAUGUCGCGGUGAAUACGUUCCCGGGCCUUGUACACACCGCCCGUCACACCAUGAGAGUCGAUAACACCCGAAGCCUGUGAGCUAACCGUAAGGAGGCAGCAGUCGAAGGUGGGGUUGAUGAUUGGGGUGAAGUCGUAACAAGGUAAC
rnacentral:rRNA from 1 species